GAUGAACGCUGGCGGCGCGCCUAACACAUGCAAGUCGAACGAAUAGAGCACGUUCUUGUGCGUAUAAAGUGGGGAACGGCUGAGUGACACACGGGCGACCUGCCCCCCUCAUUUGGAUAGCCACGGAAAACAGUGGGGAUUACAGAAUACAUCAGGUCUUCCGCCUGGAAGAGUCGAGAAAGCUUCGGGGGUGGGGGAUGGGACCGGGGGCUAUUAGCUUGUUGGUGGGGGUAUGGCCUGCCAAGGCAAUGAGGGGUAGCGGGGUUGAGAGAGUGACCAGCCACAUUGGGACUGAGACACGGCCCAGACUCCUACGGGAGGCAGCAGUGGGGAAUCUUGCACAAUGGGCGGAAGCCUGAUGCAGCGACGCCGCGUGCGGGAUGAAGGCCUUCGGGUUGUAAACCGCUUUCAGCUGUGACGAGGCGAAAGUGACGGUACCUGCAGAAGAAGCCCCGGCUAACUACGUG
rnacentral:rRNA from 1 species